CCCCUCUCAGGGUCGCACCUGGAGAGUUUCCAGUCCUCUACCAGUCUCGGCUACGGGAGGGAGAGUCAACCAGAGGCCUACCCAUUCCGUUGCUAGCUUGGCAGGUGGCUAGCGAGUGGAAGGCCAUCUGCUACAAGU
rnacentral:snoRNA from 1 species